CUAAGCUGUAUCCGCCGUUAGGGGGUUCAUCAUUCUGCAAAUCGACUUAAGAUGUAGCACCUAUAGAGUUCAUGAUAUCCUCAGAGAGACGAGUCUUCGUUGAUGGUCGAUGCAUCUGUAUCUGUUAGCGUCGGUUCGUAUUUGAUUCUUCCUCUCACAGAUGUUACAAGUUCAUUGAUUCAAUAUCAGUUACGAAUCUCGCAUUCAAUGUCUAUUUGCCCUCUUACCAUCUAUAGAAAGGAAUGUCGGUGUUCUUUCACCGUCGAGAUGAUGCGGUUGCUCAGAUGCUGAGAAGCCAUAUUGUUAAACGCGGUGGGGAGUUGAUGGGAGUUUACAUGAUCUUCAUUCCGACGGUCUAGUGCGGUUGCUCAGAUUCUCGAUGUCUUUGACCAUAUUUCUUAUCACCUGGUUUUAACUGAACGGAGAUAAAGACAUCGAGGGUUCACUUCUUGAGAUUCGUUAACGACGGGUUGAUUAGCAAUAACGGUAUCGUCCAAAUCUAACGCUUUUGGCGACGAAGAAACCGAUGAGAAGAGGAUAGCUCCUAAGUCUACUCGCGAAUGAAGUGACUUUAUGGGUUUGUCUUCGAUUUGCAGAGAUGGUCGAGUGAUCUGGUGGUUUUCCAAGGAGAAGGGAAAGGAGGGUUUUAGGUGUGGGAGAUGAGAUUAUGAUGUUGGAUCUGAAGAAAAUUGAUUAACGUAGAGAGCUUUGAACCUGUGGCGUCUUUGUGAGAGAGAGGGAGAGGUAUCAAUGAGAAACAUGGAAUGAGAAAUGCAUCAUUAGAAAUGCAACAUUCAAUAAAAUAAGGAUGUUGGAAAAGCUGUAGUAGGGAGAUAUUCAAAAGUACUUUAGUUUCUGGCUUCUAAUGUAUUUGCUUGGAUUGAUCGUGUUCCCUGCGUACACAAAAACAUGAAAGCAGAAGAUUCCAAGAGUUGAACAAGUCUGAGUGCAGCUGCAAGAUGAGAUGAAGAGACAUGAAGGUCUAACAACAGCAUAUGAGGUGGAGAAUAAUACCAAAACUGAUGAGAGGUAAGAACUGAGAGUAAUCACUGAUGAGAGGUAAGAACUGAGAGUAAUCUUGGGAAAACAAAAGAAAAUAAUAUAAGUUUAGAAAUAGAGGUCAAAACGUUGAAAGAAAGGAAAAAUGUUACGAGGGUGACAUGGGGACAUAGAAUUUUCAGAGGGCUUUUGUUUGUGUAUGUUUAUGCAUCAUGUAAUACAAAACUUUUGUGGGUAUGUGUCUCUGAGAUGUGAUUA